UUUGGAGUGAGCUCGCCGCCCUGCUGAACACAGAGGGCCUGGCCGCCAAGACAGCCGAACAGUGGCAGGUGUUUUGGCGGAAGGAAGUAUUUCUUUCCCGCCGAGGUGCCGCCGCAGCUUCCGCAAGGUAAAGCGGCACGGGUGGUGGCCGUCUGCCCGGCCUUCGUGGCCGUGUCAUCGCCUUAGUGGGCACCUCCACGGUGACCGGAGUGUGCGAGGCCUUCUACCAACCGCUCGACGAGCCCGCCAUGGAGGUGACCGUACAAUCUGUGGGCACCACCGCUGGAACAAGUGGCCUUUCAC